GGCUGAAAUGCGCGUCGUCGCAGGAUCAAAGGCAUGCCGUCCGGCGGUCGAUCCUCGCAAGCGCUCAAACACGAGGGCCGUAAACGGAGGCAGGUAGUGCAAGAGCAAGAGCAGCCGAUGCUCGUCCAUGCCCACAAGAGGCGCAGCCACGGCGGCCGCUGCCGUGCGCGCGCCGAAAUCCGAUCCGGUCGAGACGACGAUCCGAUCCGCCUCUAAAGAGGCCACCGAGGGGUCAUAGACCGAGUCGGGGUUGGGCACGGCGACGGCAUGCACCAGGGCGUGACGGAAAACGGCAGCGCACCUCUUUAGCCGCAGUUUGGUAUCGUGAACGAAUCCGGCACGGGUCGGCGGGAACAGGGCUGCCGUGCCGUCGAUGCGCACCGCACGAGGCCGACAUGCGGCACGGUUUGUGCCCAUGCGCGUCCGACAAGUAAACCAAAGCGCACUCCUCUCAAUGUCCUCUGGGGUGCGCGCGCCCUCUAGGCCACGGAUCAUGAGAGCGUCGAGCCGUUUGUCCGCGCUCGACUGAACGCCGCAGACCCUGUCGAUCUCGGCCGACAUCUUUUCGACGAGCCGCUUGGCCGCCGUCGUCUUGCCCGACGGGCCGCGGGCGCCGACGACCAGCGUCAGGGAACCCGAGCCCAUAGGGAGCGCGUCCUCGAACCCCUCCCAUUCAAAGAGGCGGGUGCCGGCCACUAGGACAGAGGGCGUCGCCAUGCGUGUGUGAGCGCGUCGGGCUGCGCGACAAAACUCGUUGAUAUCGCGCAGGGUCCAGUGGGUGGCGAGCCAUCUUUGCGCGCGUCGGCGGCUCGCGUGUGUUGGCAUGGCCGCGGCGAUGUAGGCGUCAAAGACGCAUUCGAGCGCCAACGACGGAAGGAGGGCGAGAGGAAAAUCGCCGACGGUCUCCAUUUGAGAGCCAGAGAGGGAAACCCGAGCGUGGGUCGCGUGGGUCAAAAACACGAUCGUGGUAUCUCGGUCCUGCUUGUCGUUGUUGUCCUCAAAAAAAGUGUCCAAUAGCGACUUUUUUUUCUCUUG
rnacentral:lncRNA from 1 species